UUGCCAUGUGCUUUUUCUCCAGCUUCUCGUAAUGCCUGCUGACCUGAUGUGCUGGCAAUCCUGCAUCCCCUCGGAGUGCCAGGAGGCUCAUCACCACUCCACCAGCUCCAGGAUGCCUGGGAUGCAGUGUGAUGGUAGCACUGGCCGAAACCAUCACCAACUGCAGAGACACCAUCUUUUCUUUUUGGAAGAUCUUGGGUUUGAAACGUGAUCCCUGAAAUAAGACCAUGACAGCCGUCAGAUCCUCUUCUCUGAACAGAGAAUCACUGAGGAGCAGCUUGAGAUAAGUGCUGCAAACAAAAGAGAGAACCCGACGGCUGUCAGAUCAGAGUAGCAGUAGGCCAAGAAGACAAAUUGCCUUCUGGCUGCAGACAGAAUAGCUGUUGUGGUGUGCCUUGGAACGCGAUGUCCUCCACAGAUGGCAGCCUGCAGCAAAAGUCUGAUUGGACCUGCAGAGAUGCAGCCCAAUGACAGUGUCGUGUGUUCUUAUCCUAGGGCUGCAUGUGACACUAUGCAGGAUACAGAAAAUUGUUCUUGGACACUGUGCAGAUCUCUACAGGCAGACGGCUGGCACUUUGGAUUGCAACAUUACCGAAACGAAAAGCGUGAACACUACAGGAAUUUCUGCUCUAUGGAAAAAUGUUAUUUUUGGAUUCUUCAGGAAGGCGUGCACAUAAAACCACCGGUUCCCUGCACUCUCUCUGUUGUCCGAUUUGUUAAACUCAAGUGGUCCCAUGUGCGAGUAGCAUGACUGCCAGAAGUGCUCUGCAGCCAUCUGCUUUUUUGGUAAGUCUUUGAUUAUUUCUUUGUCUAUAUUUCUGUCCGAAAUUAGAACUGGCAACUCAAUUGGUUGGUUACUAUUGGAUUUUUUAUAAUUUAACAUUUCCAACUUAUGGCUAGGAAAUAGCAGCAAGGUAAUAAAAAGCACAAGAAAUAAACUUUCCUACAGAAGUCCUGGUGGAGCUUUUGUACUGUAUUGUUUCAGCAACUGAGCAGAGAAAGUUUUACUCUUUGUAGGUAGCUGGAAGGAGCAGACUUAGCAGGAUGCACUAGUUUGUUGAACUGUCCAGAAAAUGUGGAGAAGAACUCCCAGGCUCCGGUAAAGGCACUUGUAAUAGAGGUGAACUUGGAAGUCAGUGCUGCUUUUAGAUCAGAACCAAACCACACCACAGAGGAAGAAAGUUAAAAGCAGGGGGGACUUCUUCUGAAGCUAGAGGUCUCCUAUGGUAGCUAGAAACUUGUUGCCUGUGUAGGUCUGCUAUGAAGGCUGUGUGCUUGCUGGCUGUACAGUUUCAAAGCCUGGGAGAGGCUCUGACUGAUAUCCUGCAACUGGGUGGUGUGUGCUGCCAGGUUUUUUCAAUGGAAGCUUCACGAGAGGUCCUGGAUUUCUUCAAUGAGGACUUCAAUGUGGAAUCCAGGUCCUGUAUCUCCUGUAUCUGGAGAGAGGACAGGAGUCAGGGCUAGAGCAGACACUGUGAUCACUGGCUCUGUCCUUCCACAUGGAAUCCAUAGAGGAUACCAACACACAUACCCUGUAAUGCUGACUUUGUGGGACAUGUACAGAAUAAUUCAUUACUGAGUGCUGUGUUUGCUUGUUUGGUUUUUUUUUUU